AGUGAACGCUGGCGGUAGGCCUAACACAUGCAAGUCGAACGGCAGCACAGUAAGAGCUUGCUCUUACGGGUGGCGAGUGGCGGACGGGUGAGGAAUAUAUCGGAAUCUACUUUUUCGUGGGGGAUAACGUAGGGAAACUUACGCUAAUACCGCAUACGACCUACGGGUGAAAGCAGGGGAUCUUCGGACCUUGCGCGAUUGAAUGAGCCGAUGUCGGAUUAGCUAGUUGGCGGGGUAAAGGCCCACCAAGGCGACGAUCCGUAGCUGGUCUGAGAGGAUGAUCAGCCACACUGGAACUGAGACACGGUCCAGACUCCUACGGGAGGCAGCAGUGGGGAAUAUUGGACAAUGGGCGCAAGCCUGAUCCAGCCAUACCGCGUGGGUGAAGAAGGCCUUCGGGUUGUAAAGCCCUUUUGUUGGGAAAGAAAAGCAGCAGGUUAAUACCCCGCUGUUCUGACGGUACCCAAAGAGUAAGCACCGGCUAACUUCGUG
rnacentral:rRNA from 1 species